rnacentral:rRNA from 1 species
GAUGAACGCUGGCGGCGUGCCUAAUACAUGCAAGUCGAGCGAAUGGAUUAAGAGCUUGCUCUUAUGAAGUUAGCGGCGGACGGGUGAGUAACACGUGGGUAACCUGCCCAUAAGACUGGGAUAACUCCGGGAAACCGGGGCUAAUACCGGAUAACAUUUUGAACCGCAUGGUUCGAAAUUGAAAGGCGGCUUCGGCUGUCACUUAUGGAUGGACCCGCGUCGCAUUAGCUAGUUGGUGAGGUAACGGCUCACCAAGGCAACAAUGCGUAGCCGACCUGAGGGGGUGGUCGGCCACACUGGGACUGAGACACGGCCCAGACUCCUAAGGGAGGCAGCAGUAGGGAAUCUUCCGCAAUGGACGAAAGUCUGACGGAGCAACGCCGCGUGAGGUAUGAAGGCUUUCGGGUCGUAAAACUCUGUUGUUAGGGAAGAACAAGUGCUAGUUGAAUAAGCUGGCACCUUGACGGUACCUAACCAGAAAGCCACGGCUAACUACGUGCCAGCCGCCGCCGUAA